AACGAACGCUGGCGGCAGGCUUAACACAUGCAAGUCGAGCGCAUCCUUCGGGGUGAGCGGCCGACGGGUGAGUAACGCGUGGGAAUCUACCUUUUGCUACGGAAUAGCUCCGGGAAACUGGAAUUAAUACCGUAUGUGCCCUUAGGGGGAAAGAUUUAUCGGCAAGAGAUGAGCCCGCGUUGGAUUAGCUAGUUGGUGGGGUAAAGGCCUACCAAGGCGACGAUCCAUAGCUGGUCUGAGAGGAUGAUCAGCCACAUUGGGACUGAGACACGGCCCAAACUCCUACGGGAGGCAGCAGUGGGGAAUAUUGGACGAUGGGCGCAAGCCUGAUCCAGCCAUGCCGCGUGAGUGAUGAAGGCCUUAGGGUUGUAAAGCUCUUUCACCGGAGAAGAUAAUGACGGUAGCCGGAGAAGAAGCCCCGGCUAACUUCGUG
rnacentral:rRNA from 1 species